rnacentral:rRNA from 1 species
CCCUUAGAUGUCCUGGGCCGCACGCGCGUUACACUGAUGCAUUCAACGAGCUUAUAACCUUGGCCGAGAGGCCUGGGCAAUCUUGUUAACGUGCAUCGUGAUAGGGAUAGAUUAUUGAAAUUAGUAAUCCUGAACGAGGAAUUCCUAGUAAGUCCCAGUCAACAGCUGGUACUGAUUACGUCCCUGCCCUUUGUACACACCGCCCGUCGCUACUACUGAUUGGACGUUUAAGCAAGAUUUUUAAACACUGACAGUUAAUGGCUUCGGCCAAGACACAGUGAGAAGAAGAAGAUCGAGCUUACUUGUCUAGAGGAAGUAAAAGUCGUAACA